AUAAGCGGAGGAAAAGAAACCAACAGGGAUUGCCUCAGUAACGGCGAGUGAAGCGGCAACAGCUCAAAUUUGAAAUCUGGCCCCCCGGCCCGAGUUGUAAUUUGCAGAGGAUGCUUCUGGCGCGGUGCCUUCCAAGUCCCCUGGAACGGGGCGCCAUAGAGGGUGAGAGCCCCGUCCGGUUGGCCGCCAAGCCUGUGUGAAGCUCCUUCGACGAGUCGAGUAGUUUGGGAAUGCUGCUCUAAACGGGAGGUAGACCCCUUCUAAAGCUAAAUACCGGCCAGAGACCGAUAGCGCACAAGUAGAGUGAUCGAAAGAUGAAAAGCACUUUGAAAAGAGGGUUAAACAGUACGUGAAAUUGUUGAAAGGGAAGCGCUUGUGACCAGACGUGCGCCGGGUGUUCAGCGGGCGUUUUCGCCCGUGCAUUCGCCCCGGCGCAGGCCAGCGUCGGUUUGGGCGGGGGGAUAAAGGCGCCAGGAACGUAUCUCCCCCGGGAGUGUUAUAGCCUGGCGCGCCAUGCCCCCGCCUGGACCGAGGUUCGCGCUCCGCAAGGACGCUGGCGUAAUGGUCCCCAGCGGCCCGUCUUGAAACACGGACCAAGGAGUCGAGGUUUUACGCGAGUGUCUGGGUGUCAAACCCGCACGCGUAAUGAAAGUGAACGCAGGUGGGAGCUUCGGCGCACCACCGACCGAUCCUGAUGUUUUCGGAUGGAUUUGAGUAGGAGCGUAGGGCCUCGGACCCGAAAGAUGGUGAACUAUACUUGGAUAGGGUGAAGCCAGAGGAAACUCUGGUGGAGGCUCGCAGCGGUUCUGACGUGCAAAUCGAUCGUCAAAUCUGAGUA
rnacentral:rRNA from 1 species